CCUUAGGUCAGCGGCGGACGGGUGAGUAACACGUGGGUAACCUGCCUGUAAGACUGGGAUAACUCCGGGAAACCGGGGCUAAUACCGGAUGCUUGAUUGAACCGCAUGGUUCAAUCAUAAAAGGUGGCUUUUAGCUACCACUUACAGAUGGACCCGCGGCGCAUUAGCUAGUUGGUGAGGUAACGGCUCACCAAGGCGACGAUGCGUAGCCGACCUGAGAGGGUGAUCGGCCACACUGGGACUGAGACACGGCCCAGACUCCUACGGGAGGCAGCAGUAGGGAAUCUUCCGCAAUGGACGAAAGUCUGACGGAGCAACGCCGCGUGAGUGAUGAAGGUUUUCGGAUCGUAAAACUCUGUUGUUAGGGAAGAACAAGUACCGUUCGAAUAGGGCGGUACCUUGACGGUACCUAACCAGAAAGCCACGGCUAACUACGUGCCAGCAGCCGCGGUAAUACGUAGGUGGCAAGCGUUGUCCGGAAUUAUUGGGCGUAAAGCGCGCGCAGGCGGUUUCUUAAGUCUGAUGUGAAAGCCCCCGGCUCAACCGGGGAGGGUCAUUGGAAACUGGGGAACUUGAGUGCAGAAGAGGAGAGUGGAAUUCCACGUGUAGCGGUGAAAUGCGUAGAGAUGUGGAGGAACACCAGUGGCGAAGGCGACUCUCUGGUCUGUAACUGACGCUGAGGCGCGAAAGCGUGGGGAGCGAACAGGAUUAGAUACCCUGGUAGUCCACGCCGUAAACGAUGAGUGCUAAGUGUUAGAGGGUUUCCGCCCU
rnacentral:rRNA from 1 species